GUUUUAGAAAAGUUAAGAACUUUGGAAGUUAGAAAAGAAAAGUCUAGGAGAAGAAGAUGAGAUGGAACUAGAGAUUUUUAGAGAAGAAGGAUAAAGAAAAUCAUAGGAGGACCAACAGAAUUGAGCACGAAGUCGUGAAAGCGCGCUACUUGAAGGAAAAGGGGGAAGCAUUCGCAUUCGAUGCAAGCUAUCACUUCUUGGCAGAAAGAAUCCCGGAGGAUAACUCGGACUACUUGGAUGCUGUAUCGUCUUCGGAGGAGGAAGAUUGAUGGAUUUAGAAGUUUUUGUAUAGGUUUUGUGGGUAGACCUCUAUGUAAACCCUCACGAGACUAUAACUCGUCCACUAGGGUCGCCUAGGGGUUCAAAGGAUUGAUGCACAUGCUAAGUGCAUUCGUUUUUCCGUCGACAAGGAGUUGUAUUUUAUGUUUGAAGUAACCAAAAUUGCAUGAAUAAAGUGAAUUGCAUCUAUUAGAA